rnacentral:rRNA from 1 species
UUUUGGACAAUGGGGGCAAGCCUGAUCCAGCAAUGGGGGGUGCAGGAAGAAGGCCUUCGGGUUGUAAACAGCUUUUGUAGGCCACGAAAAGCCCCCUGGUUUAUACCUGGGGCUAAUGACGGGUACCGUAAGAAAUAAGCACCGGCUAACUACGUGCCAGCAGCCGCGGGUAAUACGUAGGGUGGGGAGGGGUUAAUGGGAAUUACUGGGCGUAAAGCGUGCGCAGGCGGUUUUGUAAGACAGGCGUGAAAUCCCCGGGCUCAACCUGGGAAUGGCGCUUGUGACUGCAAAGCUGGAGUGCGGCAGAGGGGGAUGGAAUUCCGCGUGUAGCAGUGAAAUGCGUAGAUAUGCGGAGGAACACCGAUGGCGAAGGCAAUCCCCGGGGCCUGCACUACGCUCAGCACGAGG